rnacentral:rRNA from 1 species
CUUUUCAACGGCCGCGGUAUCCUAACCGUGCAAAGGUAGCGUAAUCACUUGUCUUCUAAAUAAAGACCAGUAUGAACGGCUAAAUGAGAAUGGACCUGUCUCUUAUAUCUAAUCAGUGAAACUGAUCUCCCAGUACAAAAGCUGGGAUUCACCCAUAAGACGAGAAGACCCUGUGGAGCUUCAAACCUAUGCUACCAAGCACAAAACACCUGCAACUAACCAAAGGUUUUAAGUUGGGGCGACUUUGGAACCAAAAAAAACUUCCAAGAACAGAGCCAAACCACUCUCACCAAGGCCAACAAGCCAAAGCCAAAAAUCGACCCAGUAUAACUGAUAAACGGACCAAGUUACCCCAGGGAUAACAGCGCUAUCUUCUUCAAGAGUCCAUAUCGACAAGAAGGUUUACGACCUCGAUGUUGGAUCAGGACACCCAAAUGGUGCAGCCGCUAUUAAAGGUUCGUUUGUUCAACGAUUAAAGUCCUACGUGAUCUG